rnacentral:rRNA from 1 species
UACGUAGGGUGCAAGCGUUGUCCGGAAUUAUUGGGCGUAAAGAGCUCGUAGGCGGUUUGUCGCGUCUGCUGUGAAAACUCGGGGCUCAACUCCGAGCUUGCAGUGGGUACGGGCAGACUAGAGUGCGGUAGGGGAGACUGGAAUUCCUGGUGUAGCGGUGGAAUGCGCAGAUAUCAGGAGGAACACCGGUGGCGAAGGCGGGUCUCUGGGCCGUAACUGACGCUGAGGAGCGAAAGCGUGGGGAGCGAACAGG